UUAUCAUGUCAUGAACUAUUUUCUUGUUAUGCUAUCACAUGAACCAAUCUUAACAAGCGAGCUGGCUCAUAUACUGUGUAGGCAGCAUGGUAAGAGUUGUGUUUUUUUUUAGGUUCCAGCAAAACAACCUCAAAAUGUCUGUGCAUGUUGCUGCACACUGUCAUGUCUUUGCGUUCUUUUAUUUCCAACUUACACAUUGUUGAAGGUAUAAUAACUACAGUUCAUCAUGUUCUGUCUUUUUAACUAAUCAUGUUGUGAGGGUUUUUUCAUAAUUUUUGUAAUCAAUUUGUACAACUGUAAUUGAUAUAAUAGACAUGGAACAGGUUAAUUAAUGAAAAAUGUAUUUCAUCACCUCCCAACAGAAGUGCAUGUUCAAAAGACUCCUGUAGCUGCACCAGGCCAUGUCAGACUGACUUGUAACACCAGCUGUCCUCAGACUGAUCUUCAGACUGCCUUAAGAGUGUACAGGAGCAGUAUCUCAGAGGGACAGUAUGGGACAAUAAAGGAUGUAUUUCCCCACAUAUCUAAUGAAAACUUCUCCUGUGCUGUAAAAGGCCUCAAACAUCUACACUCUGCUGCAGUCUGUGCUGAGGAUAAGAACUGUUGGAGUGUGAAUUAUGUCAGCAGGAGAAUCUGUGCUGUUCACGGCUCCUCAGUGAACAUUUCAAGUGAAUAUUCUCAUACUGACAACCAGCAGCCCCAGUCUAAAUUAUGGUAUAAAAUAAUCAGAAGUGGUAAGAAGGAGACUGAAAAGCCUAUUGAAGUUGCAGGUCCUGUUGAGUACCAUGAAAACAUGAACAAUCAUCACAUCCUGUCAAUUAAAGACCUGACGAGGAAUGACUCAGCAGAAUACAAAUUCAAGAUCCAGACACAGGACGGAUGGAAACAGUCAGAUUUUUCUGGAGUGACGUUGGUUGUCACAGGUAGUUCUUUAGAUUUAAUAUAUUAUUUUUGAAUACGGAAUUAUUGAUUCCAACCCAUGUGAUGUACUAUCAGCAGUCAGCACACUGAAAGGCUGGUUCAAUGCUCCUUUCACUCAAUUCAGUUCAUGUAUUUAUCAAAAUAAAUGUACUGACUUUGGCUUUAUGGCUUUUUUAGAAGACACUGACAAACAAUCUAGUUGAUGGAUAGUUAAGGGACCUUGUGAGAUAGUAUGUCUCUUUCACAUUUGCUGAUCAAACUAUCUUUCAGAUCUUAAAGUGACGUUCACUCCCUCUGCAGUGGUGACAGAGGGUCAGAGAGUCACACUGACCUGCCGCACCAGCUGUCCUCUGAACACAGACUACAUCUGGACCUUCAACAGUCGACCUCUGAACCUGCCAGAGAGCCAAAACAAACACCUGGUUCUAGACCCAGUCAGCAGUCAGCAUGAAGGAAGGUACUCCUGUAAGGUCAAAACUGGCAGAAGAACCAUUGGCUCAGCUGAAAAAACUCUGACUGUCCAAAAUACUAAAGGGAAACAAACAUCAGCAGCAGCUGCAGGAGUGUGUGCUGCUCUCCUGGUUUUACUACUUCUCACUGUCCUCUGGUGGAUGAGGUGAGCAACACUGUGCUGUUCCUGACUAAUGACAUUUACACACAAUCCCGGAAUCACUAAUUAAUUUGUAUAUUCUCUUGUGUCACUAACCAGAAAGAAGAGAACAUCCACCCAAUCUCCUCGAACUGAACCCUCAGACAACUCGGAGGAGGUAGAGAAAACAAUCUAAACUAUAGACAAGAGUUGUGUUUGUAUACAGUGAUGACAUUUUUUUUGGCACAGUCAAAAAGGUGGCAGAAAGUGACAGCUCAGCAGUAGCUUCUAGCGAGCCGUGUCAGGUGUGAGCACCUGAAUCAUCUUCUAUUAAUCAUGUAGCCUCUCUUUAGUUUUUCUCUUCACUUGCACCUGGUCAUGUUCCUAAUAAACUGUUCUAUGCUUUCCCUCAGAUUUUUAUAUAAUUUAUAUAAAAAAUUUUAACGCGUGAUUAAUGCUCAGUAUUUAAAAAAAAGAAACGCGCAUUGUUUGAUUUACGGCCAUCAGUGGCACCUGUAGUCUUGAUCCAGAGGGCGGCAGAAGAAUAAGAAAGGGAAUCAGAGGAAGAAGAAGCAGGGUUGGCAUUCGGGAAAAACACGGUGGACUGAAAAGCGAAAGUGAAAGGAAAUGGAGAAAGGACUUAUGAACGGCAAAUUCACUUUCAAAACACUGCCAGAUGGUUCGGUCCAUGUUUUGAUCCCAUUUAGGGUGAGGGGAUAUUUUUGGAGCCUUUUAUUUUCCUGCAUAAUUUGAAGUGUUGAAUAAACAUUUUCAUAAAGCAAGCAUAUUUGCCCUUUCUUAUGUUGUUAAAAGUAUUAAGAACAUGAACAAAAUACAUUAAGGUACAUUUAGAACAGAAACAAAUGUGCCAAAAAAUGUGCGAUUAAUAUGCGAUUAAUCGCGAGUUAACUGUGGACAAAAUGUGAUUAAUCGCAAUUAAAAAAAUUAAUCGCUUGACAGCCCUCUUAAUAUAUUGUAUAAACGUUUAUUUGUGGUAGUCAGUGCAUCUGAAUUGUAGUUAACAAAAGUUUAUGUCCAAGAUUGCUCACACAACAAGCAGAUGUCAAGGAGUGUAACAGAAGUAUGUCUUUAUGUGGCUAUCGACUCAAGACACCAAACAUUUGCAAAAUAUACCUGAAAAUUCUUCAGACAACAUUCAUCCAUUGAGUUCUAAAAAAAAAAGAUUUUUCUCGUCUCCUCAGCCAAACCCUGAUUCUUGUGUAUGAAAACAUCUCAGCUCCAUCAGCAGAGCAGGAUGACCAUCACUACAUGAGACUCCACUUCUCUCAGAACCACACAGAUGAUCUCUACUCCACCAUCCAUCAAGCAGCUUCCAACUGAACUACAGUUUGUUGUCAUUGUAUUUUGCAGUUAGAGCCUGACCAAUAUAUCAGUCGAUAUUAACCUAUCAUGGAUAUAUCUGGGAUAUAUUGAUAUCCACCUAUAUGUUAUCCAAAAUGUCCAUUACAAAACUUUCUACGCAACAUAAUGCAGAAUAAAAGGCCCUGGUGUGAUUCAUGAUUAAGUGUUGUUUAAUGUGAUGGUGCACUCUUGUAAUCUUUAACAAUAA
ensembl:lncRNA